rnacentral:rRNA from 1 species
CCUACGGGUGGCAGCAGUGAGGAAUAUUGGUCAAUGGCCGGAAGGCUGAACCAGCCAUGCCGCGUGAAGGUCAGUGCCCUAUGGGCGUUAAACUUCUUUUGUGCGGGAGCAAUAAUGGUCACGUGUGGCCAGACGAGAGUACCGUACGAAUAAGCAUCGGCUAACUCCGUGCCAGCAGCCGCGGUAAUACGGGGGAUGCAAGCGUUAUCCGGAGUUAUUGGGGUUAAAGGGUGCGUAGGCUGUGAGGUAAGUCAGCGGUGAAAUGCCCCCGCUCAACGGGGUGAAGUGCCAUUGAUACUGCCUUGCUGGAAUGCGGAGGCCGUGGGAGGAAUGUGUGGUGUAGCGGUGAAAUGCAUAGAUAUCACACAGAACACCGAUUGCGAAGGCAUCUCACGGAUCCGCGAUUGACGCUGAUGCACGAAAGCGUGGGUAUCAAACAGGAUUAGAUACCCGGGUAGUC